rnacentral:lncRNA from 1 species
CUGAAUGUUGCAUUUAGAACUGAGAUGUAUUUAAUUUCUUUUUCAGUUCCUCCUCUCACUUCUGCUAGUCCUUUAGCGAAGUUAAUCCAUUGAUUCAGUUCUUCUCAACCACGAUGAGUGGAUUUUGCAAGUUUUAUUUUUCAAGAAGAAGUGUUAUUUCCCUAUUCUCAAGUUCCUCAGGGAGCCUCUCAUUAACAUCUCCACUGGAAGUAACGACAGCUGGACCAGGGUCUUAAAACAACAACAUCUUUCCUUACGUGAAUCCCGGAGAGACUUUUCUUCAGAGGCGAGAAGGCACAAGUCCAACAGCUCAGCCUCGGGUUAUUUUUGCCUACUAAAGGCACAAGUGCGCGCACUAGAAAGAUGCUGAUUUCUACGUGGUGUAUUGAGGAAGCUGUUACUAAGGACGUAAGGACAAGCCGAUCACUAUUUGGCCUAUCACCAAUUCACAGAAACCUCAAACACCUGACCCUCAGGGUGUUGCUAUAGCAAUCCAGAAAUGAUAAAUUCACUAAAUUAUCUCUUUGCCAACAAUUUUUAAAUAAGCU